GACGAACGCUGGCGGCGUGCUUAACACAUGCAAGUCGAACGGAAAGGCCCUGCUUUUGUGGGGUGCUCGAGUGGCGAACGGGUGAGUAACACGUGAGUAACCUGCCCUUGUCUUUGGGAUAACUUCAGGAAACUGGGGCUAAUACCGGAUAGGAGCUCCUGCUGCAUGGUGGGGGUUGGAAAGAUUCGGCGGUUGGGGAUGGACUCGCGGCUUAUCCGCUUGUUGGUGGGGUAGUGGCUUACCAAGGUUUUGACGGGUAGCCGGCCUGAGAGGGUGACCGGCCACAUGGCGACUGAGAUACGGCGCAGACUCCUACGGGAGGCAGCAGGGGGGAAUAUUGCACAAUGGGCGGAAGCGUGAUGCAGCAACGCCGCGUGCGGGAUGACGGCCUUCGGGUUGUAAACCGCUUUCGCCUGUGACGAAGCGUGAGUGACGGUAAUGGGUAAAGAAGCACCGGCUAACUACGUG
rnacentral:rRNA from 1 species